rnacentral:lncRNA from 1 species
UGGAGGCUUUUCAUUGACGACAUCCAUCAAAAUCAAGAUGAAAAUCUUCUUUAUAAAAGAAAUAAUAUCUAAGCAAGAUAACAUUCUACUUUCAAUCCUUGGUUAUAGCUUCUUUAUAGUUGUGACGCUCCGGAGAUGGAGAAGCAACAACCAGCGGAUUCGACUCAAGAGCCUUCAUUUGCUGACCUGUCAAACGAGAUAUUACGAUUAUCACAACCUUCAAGACAAUGCAAUCAAGAUGAAGAUCUUCAAAAAUGACAUGUUCUUCCUUGAAUAGAUGGUGAGAUACAACGUUGUCGUAUGGCGUGAUUUUCUAUCUGAGAAUACACCGGGUAUCUAGCUGUAGAGAGUUUAGGUUUAUUUUUAUAUAAUGCCUUAGCUCCCAAAAACAAAAGCUCUUUGUUUUGUAUAAAAACUCAAAAUAUAUUAAAAUUCUUCAAAAUAUAUUUCUUCCCGCCAAGUACCUUUUUACAUCAGACUUUGAAAAUUCAUAAAAGCUAAUCCAACCGUUCACUUUGUUUCAAAUUUCUACAUAAGCUAGAUGCUAUACAUAAAUUUUACCACAAAAAAAAUUGAACCGUACAUCUAUCACCGAUCGUUCGGCAUCUAAGAAACCCUAGCAGGUGCACAAAACCCUAACUUACAAGCAUCCGAAAACUAUUUUCCUUAUAUCUCUUAAACCCAAGCUCCAAAUCACACAAAACUUAUAUAGAAAGCUUUAUAACAAGAUUACACUCAACCUUGAAAAUUUUGAGCUAAAACCUCAUCAAAUUGUCUAAGAUAUAGCUCAAAUCACAAGCACAAGUAAUUCGGGCUACUUACUACCCUUAGAUAUCAAGCGCUGACUUCAACUGCCAAUAUCUCCUUCAUAAAAGCUUGGAAUUCGAUAAAUAGUAUGCACAAACUGUAGCCGCAAAAGUAUUCUCUUCAAAUCCGGUCGCCGAUCCUCGUUUGCCAUCCGUACGCGUGCGGUAUGCUCAAAAGAGUGACAGUACGUCGAAAACUUACACCUUAACUUUGAGCGCCUAUAACUUCUUCAUAUAAACCCCAUAUGACACAAAUUUUGCACCAAAACCAUAUCCAAAAACCUAAACCUUCUGACCCUAGCCUCAAAAACUCG